rnacentral:rRNA from 1 species
UGCGUAGGCGGUCUAGCAAGUCAGAAGUGAAAGGCAUUGGCUCAACCAAUGUAAGCUUUUGAAACUGUUAGACUUGAGUGCAGGAGAGGAAAGUGGAAUUCCUAGUGUAGCGGUGAAAUGCGUAGAUAUUAGGAGGAACACCAGUGGCGAAGGCGACCUUCUGGACUGUAACUGACGCUGAGGCACGAAAGCGUGGGGAGCGAACA